rnacentral:rRNA from 1 species
AGAACGAACGCUGGCGGCAUGCCUAAUACAUGCAAGUCGAACGAACUCUUCGGAGUUAGUGGCGCACGGGUGCGUAACGCGUGGGAAUCUGCCCCUUGGUUCGGAAUAACAGUUGGAAACGACUGCUAAUACCGGAUGAUGACGAAAGUCCAAAGAUUUAUCGCCAAGGGAUGAGCCCGCGUAGGAUUAGCUAGUUGGUGAGGUAAAGGCUCACCAAGGCAACGAUCCUUAGCUGGUCUGAGAGGAUGAUCAGCCACACUGGGACUGAGACACGGCCCAGACUCCUACGGGAGGCAGCAGUAGGGAAUAUUGGACAAUGGGCGAAAGCCUGAUCCAGCAAUGCCGCGUGAGUGAUGAAGGCCUUAGGGUUGUAAAGCUCUUUUACCCGAGAUGAUAAUGACAGUAUCGGGAGAAUAAGCCCCGGCUAACUCCGUGCCAGCAGCCGC